AUUGAACGCUGGCGGCAGGCCUAACACAUGCAAGUCGAGCGAGCGGCGGACGGGUGAGUAAUGCCUAUGAAUCUGACUGGCAGCGGGGGAUAACUUCCGACAACGGGCGCUAACACCGAACACUAUCAGACAAGUCUAGGUGGGAUUAGCUAGCUGGUGGGGUAAAGGCCUACCCAGGGGACGAUGCAUAGCUGGUCUGAGAGGAUGACCAGCCACACUGGAACUGAGACACGGUCCAGAGUCCUACGUGAGGCAGCAGUGGGGAAUAUUGCACAAUGGGCGCAAGCCUGAUGCAGCCAUGCCGCGUGUAUGAAGAAGGCCUUCGGGUUGUAAAGUACUUUCAGCGGGGAGGCGUUACCCGAAGAAGAAGCACCGGCUAACUCCGUGCCAGCAGCCGCGGUAAUUC
rnacentral:rRNA from 1 species